UCAUGGGCUACAGAUUCAAGCGAAUGCUUGGAAGUGGAAAAAUACUGGCUUCGGAUCCGGCUUAAAAUGCGCAGCGUGGUGGGAGCAGGGGCAAUGCCACUGACCGAAAUGCUGCUAUUGUGUGUACUGCACGAAAUACUUUACUGUUAACCCAGAACACCUGCACAAGGUCUGUCUGUGAUGUUCUGGGGAGAAGGAAACAUGGAUGCCAUCCCCUCCCUUGUCCCGUCCCUUCUGCCCUGAUACAACUUCAAAGUUCACAUUUGCAUGAAAUUACAAGAGCCCUGCAUUUUUGCAGCACAUUGUGUAGAUGUACAUUUUGUUGCAUGUGUGAUUGCAUGUGAUGUACAUUUUGU